rnacentral:rRNA from 1 species
UUUGAUGGCGACCGGCGCACGGGUGAGUAACACGUAUCCAACCUGCCGAUGACUCGGGGAUAGCCUUUCGAAAGAAAGAUUAAUACCCGAUGGCAUAGUUCUUCCGCAUGGUGGAACUAUUAAAGAAUUUCGGUCAUCGAUGGGGAUGCGUUCCAUUAGGUUGUUGGCGGGGUAACGGCCCACCAAGCCUUCGAUGGAUAGGGGUUCUGAGAGGAAGGUCCCCCACAUUGGAACUGAGACACGGUCCUAACUCCUACGGGAGGCAGCAUG